rnacentral:rRNA from 1 species
AUUGAACGCUGGCGGCAUGCCUUACACAUGCAAGUCGAACGGCAGCACGGGAGCAAUCCUGGUGGCGAGUGGCGAACGGGUGAGUAAUAUAUCGGAACGUGCCCAGUCGUGGGGAUAACGUAGCGAAAGCUACGCUAAUACCGCAUACGAUCUACGGAUGAAAGCGGGGGAUCGCAAGACCUCGCGCGAUUGGAGCGGCCGAUAUCAGAUUAGGUAGUUGGUGAGGUAAAGGCUCACCAAGCCGACCGAUCUGUAGCUGGUCUGAGAGGACGACCAGCCACACUGGGACUGAGACACGGCCCAGACUCCUACGGGAGGCAGCAGU